rnacentral:lncRNA from 1 species
GGGACCUCUAAACUUACAAAUUGUAAGACAAGUCACAUCCCCAAAUAUAUAUUACACGGCUGAAAUUAGGAAAGACAAAAUCAAACACUCUUCUCACCUGCCAAAUGAAAAUUAAAACCCUAAAAUCCACCAUUUUUUUUAUUCUUGCCAGCGCCAAAAUCCGACCCGCCACCUCGACCCGAGGUCUCAAUAUCAUGCGAGGACCCGGUUGUUGUACAACCCAAAAGUGGCGCUGCACCGGAAGAAAAGUGGAAUUCCGAAGCUGGAAUCUGAGGUACAAAAUCGCCAUUGAUUGUGCAUUGAGAUGUGAAAUCAGAAAAUAUUUUGCUGAAUUCUAAUUUCAAAGCUUGUGUUGCGGAUUUUGGGCUUGUCAAAUUCUUGGUAGAUGGUGGUGUUGGAUUUAUUAAUUAUAUCUUUGUGUGUGUGUGCAUGUGGAGGGGGAAACAGAGGGUUGCCUGAGAUUAGGUUUCAAACAAACAGGUGAUUUGGCUGAUUCGUGUUUAAGUGGAAACGGAUGGAGGGGUGGAAAAUUUUGUACAAUAUUUUUGUAUUAAAUAAAUGGACUUCCUCUUGCGUGGUUUGGAUUUGGAUUUCUUUACACAUGUUUAUAUAAUGAAUAUAUACAUUAUACAUAUAUGCCCAAACAAAAUUUUACACACAAAAAACGUUUUUCCACAUCAUAUAGGAAAAAAAUUUCAUGAAAGAUUUCGUUCUUAAUAUAAAGGCUCUGAUACCAAUUGUUAAAUUUAAUUUUAAUCAUGUUAAGAAUCGAGAAUGACAAUACAAUAAUUAAUAGAACGAAUUCAUACCUGCGAAAGCCAUUAUUGAUAUGAAUAAUAGUUGUAAUAGCUGUUAGAUUUUCCCCUCAUUGCUCCUCACAAAGUAUUAGCUGUCAAUGGGGCAAGCUAAUAAAAUAAUAUGGAAAAGAGAGGGGAUCCAGCUUUUAUAUAGGAAUUUAUUUAGUCAUCUCAUUAUCUACGUAAACCCUAAUUAGGGUUUACGCAUAAUUUUGGCCCACAUACUUGAAAUUACCACAUUAUAUCAAAUAAAGCUUGUAAGGUGUAAAACAACCCAAAUUGAUCACUUAACAUAAUUGGUCUAAUCAUAUGUUGUUGUAAGUCAUACAUCUAACCCGUAAAACUUUACAAUCGAAUGUGAAGCCUAUAUUUGGAAUUAUUCCAACAUAACAAACAUUGAUAGGUUUUGAAUUAAAGAUAAAGAAUGAUUGAAUUGAAGGCUGCUCGUUGUGUACAUAUCAAAGAUAAAACUCAAGUUUAAUGUAACAUAUUCUAAUAUCAAUUUUAAAUAAGCAAUGUCGAGUUAAAGAUUCGAGAAUUUUUACCAAGCCGCCCAUUUUUACAUUAUUGACUUUUUGUCCUAGCCAAAAGAGCAAGCUAUCUAAUUUAAGCUUGUUGCAUUCGAGUCGAUGUGUUUUAGUUUUGUUUGUGUUUCCGUUGUUCCUUUUCUUUUCUUUUCUUUUCUUUUUCUUUUGUGUGUUUGUUUGAGAACUAGCAAAGUAUUAUGUUUGGAGGUGUUUGAUGAAUGUAUUGCAAUCAUGCAAUUAAUACUAUUUAAGCAUGAUAUUUUGUUUGGUCUUAAGAGUUUUAGGUUGUUUUGUUCUGUGUUUUUAUGUUUUUGUUGUAGGUUAGGUGAAAUGGCGAUAAAAGGCAAUUCUUGGAGCUUUAAAGAACCAAGAAGUUAGAGGGAGAUGAAUCAAGGGUGAAUGAAUGUGCAAAUAUGCUAAGGAGACAAGGAAAAAAGCCAAAGAAACAAUGCUUCAAUGCUGCAGAAAAAAGAAUUUUUACAGGUCAACUAGCACGUAUGUGCCACACAGCAAAUACAAGCAGCGAGGCAAUGCAUCGUAGAAUGUAGAGUUAAUUUUGAUCCGAAAAAGCCCAAUUAAGCCUAACUCAAGACAGACAUUAUGAGGACAUAAAUGCAACAUUUUAAAGGAUUUUGAAACACACUUUGACGCAAACAAAUCUAGAGAAUGAAGUAAUUGAAGGAAGAGACAGUGAGAAGGAAGAUAGAUUCAACUCGAAAGACAGUUUUUCCUCUUUUCCUUUCAUGUUUAUGAUAAUGAACUUUAGAUUUCUUUAUUUUCCAAUUAUGAACUAAUUCAAUUAUCUCGAGGAUUGAUGUAGCCUAUACUUGAUACUAUGUUUUGAUUUUCAAUGUAUAUUUCUUUGGGGUUUUCUUCUAAGUUUA